GACGAACGCUGGCGGCGUGCUUAACACAUGCCAGUCGAGCGGAAAGGCCCUUCGGGGUACUCGAGCGGCGAACGGGUGAGUAACACGUGAGUAAUCUGCCCUUGGCUUUGGGAUAACUACCGGAAACGGUGGCUAAUACCGGAUACGACAACCGUCUGCAUGGGCUGGUUGUGGAAAGUUUUUUCGGCCAGGGAUGUGCUCGCGGCCUAUCAGCUUGUUGGUGGGGUAAUGGCCUACCAAGGCUUCGACGGGUAGCCGGCCUGAGAGGGUGACCGGCCACACUGGGACUGAGACACGGCCCAGACUCCUACGGGAGGCAGCAGUGGGGAAUAUUGGACAAUGGGCGGAAGCCUGAUCCAGCAACGCCGCGUGAGGGAUGACGGCCGUCGGGUUGUAAACCUCUUUCAGUACCGACGAAGCGCCGAUGAUGGUGGUGACGGUAGGUACAGAAGAAGCACCGGCCAACUACGUG
rnacentral:rRNA from 1 species